rnacentral:rRNA from 1 species
CGGGCGGCUGCAGUGGGGAAUAUUGCGCAAUGGGCGAAAGCCUGACGCAGCGACGUCGCGUGGAGGAUGAAGGUCUUCGGAUUGUAAACUCCUUUUAGGGUGAAGAAAUGUCCGCUUUCGGGCGGAAGUGAUCGAUCCCAGAAUAAGCACUGGCUAACUCCGUGCCAGCAGCCGCGGUAAUACGGAGAGUGCGAGCGUUAUCCGGAAUCAUUAGGCGUAAAGGGAGCGUAGGCGGCUGAUCAAGUCAGGUGUGAAAGCCCACGGCUUAACCGUGUGAAGUGCAUCUGAAACUGGUCGGCUUGAGUAUCGGAGAGGAAAGUGGAAUUCCCGGUGUAGAGGUGAAAUUCGUAGAUAUCGGGAGGAAUACCGGUGGCGAAGGCGACUUUCUGGACGAAUACUGACGCUGAGGCGCGAAAGCGUGGGGAGCAAACAGGAUUAGAUACCCUUGUAGUC